CACUCGAUGGCACAUGGUGUGCACCUGCUGGGGGUACAUUGUCCUUCAACAGGUUAGCAGGAGGCCCUGGUUCGAUUCCGGGUCGGGUGU